rnacentral:rRNA from 1 species
UACGUAGGUGGCAAGCGUUGUCCGGAAUUAUUGGGCGUAAAGCGCGCGCAGGCGGUCUCUUAAGUCUGAUGUGAAAGCCCACGGCUCAACCGUGGAGGGUCAUUGGAAACUGGGGGACUUGAGUACAGAAGAGGAAAGCGGAAUUCCACGUGUAGCGGUGAAAUGCGUAGAGAUGUGGAGGAACACCAGUGGCGAAGGCGGCUUUCUGGUCUGUAACUGACGCUGAGGCGCGAAGGCGUGGGGAGCAAACAGG